rnacentral:rRNA from 1 species
UACGAAGGGGGCAAGCGUUGUUCGGAUUUACUGGGCGUAAAGGGCGCGUAGGCGGUUUAACAAGUUAGGCGUGAAAGUCCUGGGCUUAACCUAGGGACUGCGUUUGAUACUGUUAGGCUUGAAUGUGAGAGAGGAUGGCGGAAUUCCCAGUGUAGAGGUGAAAUUCGUAGAUAUUGGGAAGAACACCAGUGGCGAAGGCGGCCAUCUGGCUCAUGAUUGACGCUGAGGCGCGAAAGCGUGGGGAGCAAACAGG